AUCGAUUUCCGGGCGGAGGGGCCGGCUUCUGGAAGUCGAAUCAAUCGCAGCACUUCUUCCCCUUCCUGCGAGCGGGAGCGGGGCCUCCGAACCCCGACCAGCACCAGAAAGGCAUCCCCACUGACGAGUUGACGUCAGAGAAAAUCUGUUCGCUGUCCCGAGCUUGAGAGCUCAGGGCACGCCAGGCAACAGGACAGAAGUGCAAGCAGGAUUGCUUUUAUGCCACAAAAAAUCUGUGUGUCCUUCCAUUGCUCAUCUCAAUGUACUAAAAAUCACAAAAGUAAAUAUGCAAACAUGCACAUUUUGAACAGAGCCCAUAGGAAAAGCCCCUACCAACCUCGGGCACAUCGAGGCAUCGCAAGGUGGUAUUGGCGGGUGAAUCCCUGCACACAGAGGUCACCUGGACUCUCAGCUUCCCUUGGACAUCACCCCCGAUACCACCCACACAACCCUUGAGGAAACCAUGGGCCCUCAAGUUAAACACGACAAAGCAGGAGAGAGAAAACAUCUGCCCUUAAGCUCGGCAAUGGAGAGCAGAGUGCCCGGCUGUGAGGGGAGGAGCGGCCACGCCGCCAAUCAUGGCGUCAGGGCUCUGAAGAAGCCAGAAGGCCUGAUAUUAGGGACCUCCAUGAGCUGGCACAGAGAGCCCUCCAGACACAGUGCCCGUGCCAUGACCGUGUUUGGAACCACUGGCUCUCCUUACAGGCCCACGGUUCUCAAACAUGUUCAAAUGGUAGAGCAUCGGGCACUCCUGUGGAACGUCAUGGAAUAUGGCUCCAUUAAGUGAAAAAGCAACCACGUGCUAUAAAAGUUGAUGCCAAGUCCCACAGCAUCUAAAUUAGAGUUGUACAGUAACAAGUGCCAAGAGGUGUAACUUUUAUGCAGAAACCCCUUAAUGCUGAGACAAUUCUAUUAACUUCCCCUGAAACCUGGAGGAGAGAGUGCCGUUCAGUUAGCUAUGAAACGUCUCCGCUCGGGAUGCCCUUGGCUGGAGCAGGGCCGUCCUGUCAGGUUUCCAUUAGUGCCUGCUGCACACUUGUCGGCAGAUCCCAAGAGCAGUGCUGUGGGGAAGCACCCGGAGAGCCCAGGCUCUACCCGCCUUUGAUCUGCAAUGGAGAAAUCCAAUCUACACACUACCACCGGCCUCCGGGGAGUCGGCCUGGGGUCGCCAGGUGGGCAGAGCGGCAAAAGUAGGAUUUCGGCAGCUCACGGUACCCGCUCUGUGGCCAAAGGCCUCGCCUUCCAAGCAGUGUCUGACCUCUCAACUCUGACAUAUGUAUUUACUCGGCAAUGACAGCUUGCACUCCCACAGGGACAGCUGGACCACUUCUAUCAAAGGGAAUAAGUGAAAGCUCGCCUGGAUCCCGUAGCAAAAAGUAGCCGCAGGAGCCUCUGCACUCAAACAAAGCUGCUCGUUCACCAGCAGCCGCUCUCCCGGGAGCCUUUGCUGCUUUGUAACCAGCACAGGAUGCUCCAGGCCCAAAUGACAGGAGCUCACAAAUCCAGCGAUAAGGGGGCUGAGCAAGGCCUGCGCUCCUUUCACUGAUAAGGACAUGGUAGAGUAAGAAGACGCCGGGGAGUUGCUAUUCUGAUUUAUUUUUAGCAUCACUUGAGACUGAAAUCUGCUGAGAAAACCUGGAGGUACCAUUUUCCAGUUGUGUUAUCUAGUGCAAAGCCCCGGUGAUUAAGUUUGCUUGACAGUUUCAAAAAAACAGAACUUCCUUGAGAGAUACAGAGAUGGAAAUUCGAGGAAUAUUAACUUUCAGUGCAUUUGGGGGCAACAUAAACCCAUCCACCCUCCUACACAGAGGGCAGCCGUGGAAACGGGUAAAAGCACUGGGAAACUGUGUGGCUGUGGCUGUCAAAGCCGGACACCCCCGAUGACUGAGCAGUUCCAGGCAUAGGCAUGCACUCAGCAGAAAUGAGAGCUAUGUGGACCAGGAGACAGAAGAUGUCCAUUUCAUCAGAAACCCAGCCACCCUGGAGACAGCCCAGCAUCUCAUCAGCAGUAGAGGGAGACGUGCUGUACAGGACAAAGACAGCAUCAAUGCAACGUGGUGAAUCUCGGGAAUGCUGAGAGAAGGAAGCCAGACACAAAGGGCACAGGCUCUAUGACACCAACCUAUAUAAUAAAAAGGCAGUUGGCUGGCUUCAACCCACAGAAUUCUUCCUCCACUGGAAGGGAAGAGACGGUGCUUAACGAGUGCCCGCUGAAAGGUGGGCAUAGGUGGGUGCUUCUGUAGUCUCAUCUACUUUAAAACCACAGCAGGUAAGGGCCCUGGUGACCCCUCUCCCCUUACCUAGAAGGCCACCUAGGCACUCCAUCCUCACCUGCUUAUCUUCCUGCCCAGCACUAUCGCCACCUGAGCUGGUUCAGUUUUGUUCAUGGCCUGGCACAGAUCAGGCACUCAUAAGUACUGAAUGAAUGAAUGAAUGAAUGAAUGAAUAUGAUCCACUUUUUAAAGAAAAGGAAACUGAGGCUCACAAGACAAGUAACGUGCCCAAGAUCACACAUAUGGCAGAGAGCAGCAGGGAUUCAAUCCAGGUCUGCCGGACACCCAGAGCUCCUGUUCUUCCCGAUACGUCCGCCGCCUGCUUUCUAAGUAAACGGUUCCAGGUUAGCUGCUACCAAUGUCAAACAUGGGGAUGAAAUACCUUUCUGUGCACAAUAAGGAACUCUUCUCUGCAAGGCAUUCAGUUAUUCCUUCCCAUAAAAGAAGGCCCAAGAGGCUCUCUGAAAAAGAAGGCUGUCUUGACCUCCAAAAAUAAGACAUUCCCACCGCAUUAUUAGUAAGCAUGUCUGCCACGCAACAAAUCUAAAACUAGGUCUGACUUACAUUGCUGGAAGCUUCAGAAAAGAUAUUCCACACCUGCUCCAGAAUCAAUUCAUUAUGAACUUUUAAACUGUUCUUCAUCCAGUUCUAUAAGGAAAAAAAGGGGGGGGAAAUCCCAUUGGACAGGUAAACACAGCUGUCCCUGAUGGGCCCAUAUCCCCAGUCAGGGAAGCCAUCUCAAAUACAUACCUGAAAU